AUGAUUCAACCAUUGCAGCCAUGUGCCUGCAGCUCAUGGCGAGGAGUUAUUAUAUUGCUGGGAUGUAUCACAACAGCACUUCUAAGCUUCCAGCAUGUGGUGGCCUCAGUGCGUCUGCUGCGUGCCUGCAGGAAACAAGAUAUUGCCUCCUGGUGUACAACGCACCAGUGGGAAACAUACUUGCAAAAACCUCCAGCUACAGUGAAUCUGACCUGGAGCACUUGUACUCAAGGGCAAGACCUGCAAUCAGUCUCCUCAGCAAUUCAGAGACACCAAGGGAUUAGCACGGAGGGACUCUGCUGGCUUCCACACAGCCACAUGCAAAGCCCCAGCUCCCUGCUCCUCCCUGCAGGCAGUAUUGUCCACUGGCAUCUUGCCUUCUCUGACAGCAUUCACAGGAGGUAAAUGCUGCCUGUAGGAACAAACUGUCCCAACUGGACUCUUUGCUUCCCUUUCAAGUCAUAUCUCCUUCCUCCAAGAGCAUCUCACCAUCAGCGAUGUGAGGGAAACAUGGUAGAUAGCAGCUGUGGAGCCAAGACUAUCGCAACACGCUUCCCUGCCUACUGUAUUUUCACGUGGGGUUGUCCCACUUGGGGUCCCUUUGUGUCCUACGCUGCAAGUGAUCAUACGGCCAUCACCGAGGAAAGCUGGACACUAGACACCUUCUGCAGCUAGUCAACACGUCUCUGGGCUUUGUCAGGAGGGCUAACUGAGGGCUGAUGCCAGUCACCUGCUCUCGCACAGCAGUGAAGUGUGCUGCUUUCUAGCGCUCAGUGAUUCCAGAGAAGCUGCAAGUGGAUGCGAGUGGCAGAUGCUAACAGACACCAGAGAGCUGAAUCGCCAGCCCUGCCUCUCACUGACAAAUUGCACCUUCGCUGCAAACAUCUCUGAGCGUAACUUAUCUCCCGAUCGCAGCGCCAGCCGCCCCUCUCUGCAAAGGCAGCGUCCUUCCAGGUGGAUUAUUUUCCACUCAGAGACUGAUGCCUGCAACAGCAAUCUUGAAAGUCUCCUGCUAUCUGCUUCUCACUCUUCACAAGACAAGACAAGACCACCCAGUGAUUCGCCUGAAGAAAUAUUACACCAGCCUGUGGGCCGGCAUGCCUGAAAUUGGCCGAGGGAGCAUAUCGACAACGAGUUACCCAGCUUAGAAAACACAAGGGGAUUAAUAACUUGGACAGUGUGCUGGAUAAAAACUAAACUCAGAAACAAUUCCACAUCCAAACCCCAUCAGAAUUUUAAUCUUUACAGACUUUUAGCUCCGUAGCCCAAUAAAUCCUUUCCAUAGUGACUCA
rnacentral:lncRNA from 1 species